AUCAGAUACCGCCCUAGUUCUGACCGUAAACGAUGCCAACUAGCGAUCCGCCGGCGGAUUCAUUCGCCCUGGUGGGGAGCUUCCCGGAAACGAAAGUCUUCCGGUUCCGGGGGAAGUAUGGUUGCAAAGCUGAAACUUAAAGGAAUUGACGGAAGGGCACCACCAGGAGUGGAGCCUGCGGCUUAAUUUGACUCAACACGGGGAAACUCACCCGGCCCGGACACCGUAAGGAUUGACAGAUUGAUAGCUUUUUCAUGAUUCGGUGGAUGGUGGUGCAUGGCCGUUCUUAGUUCGUGGAGCGAUUUGUCUGGUUUAUUCCGAUAACGAGCGAGACUCUGGCCUACUAAAUAGUUGGCACAUUGCCACUGUGUGCCCAACUUCUUAGAGGGAUUUUCGGUGUUCAGCCGCACGAAAUUGAGCAAUAACAGGUCUGUGAUGCCCUUAGAUGUCCGGGGCUGCACGCGCGCUACACUGGCAAAAUCAGCGUGCCUGUCCUCCCCCGAAAGUGGUUGGUAAACCGAUGAAAAUUUGCCGUGAUUGGGAUCGGACAUUGCAAUUAUUGUCCGUGAACGAGGAAUCCCUUGUAAGGGCGAGUCAUCAACUCGUCCU
rnacentral:rRNA from 1 species